rnacentral:rRNA from 1 species
AGAGUUUGAUCCUGGCUCAGGAUGAACGCUAGCGGCAGGCCUAAUACAUGCAAGUCGAGCGGCAGCGGCCCCUACCUAGUAGGGGUGUCGGCGAGCGGCGCACGGGUGCGUAACGCGUAUGCAACCUACCUUGAAGAGGGGAAUAGCCCGCGGAAACGCGGAUUAAUGCCCCGUGGCGAGGGAGAAGGGCAUCCUUUUCCUUCUAAAGCUUCGGCGCUUCGGGAUGGGCAUGCGUCCAAUUAGCUAGAUGGCGGGGUAACGGCCCACCAUGGCGAUGAUUGGUAGGGGGCCUGAGAGGGUGAUCCCCCACACUGGUACUGAGACACGGACCAGACUCCUACGGGAGGCAGCAGUAGGGAAUAUUGGUCAAUGGGCGAGGGCCUGAACCAGCCAUGCCGCGUGCAGGAAGACGACCCUUGGGUUGUAAACUGCUUUUCUACGGGAAGAAAAGGGCCCUGCGGGGCACAUUGACGGUACCGUAGGAAUAAGCACCGGCUAACUACGUGCCAGCAGCCGCGGUAAUACAUAGGGUGCAAGCGUUGUCCGGAUUUACUGGGUUUAAAGGGUGCGCAGGCGGCCCGAUAAGUCAGCGGUGAAAGGCCCGCGCUCAACGCGGGAACUGCCGUUGAUACUGUCGGGCUUGAGUAUGCUCAAGGCAAGCGGAAUUCAUGGUGUAGCGGUGAAAUGCAUAGAUACCAUGAGGAACACCUAUUGCGU